AGAAAAUAUGACAAAGGAACGGCCAAAAAUAAAAAGAAAGACCUUUCUUUUGAAAAAACAAACAAAAAAAAGGAAUGCAACACGAGGACUUCCCAGGAGGUCACCCAUCCUAGUACUACUUUCGCCCAAGCACGCUUAACUUCGGAGUUCCGAUGGGAUCCGGUGCUUUAGUCCUGGUAUGAUCGCAUCCGACAUACCGUGCGUUCUCCUCCCCUUGAGGCCCGCGCCUCCGUGUACGGCCCGCCCAUAGCUCCUUCGACGGCGCCGCCUAGGAACGCGGAGAAAAUAUGACAAAGGAACGGCCCACAACUAGAAAGAAAGACCUUUCUUUUGAAAAGACAGACAAACAAAAGGAAUGCAACACGAGGACUUCCCAGGAGGUCACCCAUCCUAGUACUACUCUCGCCCAAGCACGCUUAACUUCGGAGUUCUGAUGGGAUCCGGUGCUUUAGUGCUGGUAUGAUCGCAUCCGACAUACCGUGCGUUCUCCUCCCCUUUAUGCCCGCGCCUCCGUGUACGGCCCGCCCAUAGCUCCUUCGACGGCGCCGCCUAGGAACGCGGAGAAAAUAUGACAAAGGAACGGCCAAAAAUAAAAAGAAAGACCUUUCUUUUGAAAAAACAAACAAAUAAAAGGAAUGCAACACGAGGACUUCCCAGGAGGUCACCCAUCCUAGUACUACUCUCGCCCAAGCACGCUUAACUUCGGAGUUCUGAUGGGAUCCGGUGCUUUAGUGCUGGUAUGAUCGCAUCCGACAUACCGUGCGUUCUCCUCCCCUUUAUGCCCGCGCCUCCGUGUACGGCCCGCCCAUAGCUCCUUCGACGGCGCCGCCUAGGAACGCGGAGAAAAUAUGACAAAGGAACGGCCAAAAAUAAAAAGAAAGACCUUUCAUUUUGAAAAAACAAACAAAAAAAAGGAAUGCAACACGAGGACUUCCCAGGAGGUCACCCAUCCUAGUACUACUCUCGCCCAAGCACGCUUAACUUCGGAGUUCUGAUGGGAUCCGGUGCUUUAGUGCUGGUAUGAUCGCAUCCGACAUACCGUGCGUUCUCCUCCCCUUUAUGCCCGCGCCUCCGUGUACGGCCCGCCCAUAGCUCCUUCGACGGCAGCCGCCUAGGAACGCGGAGAAUAUAUGACAAAGGAACGGCCAAAAAUAAAAAGAAAGACCUUUCUUAUGAAAAAACAGACAUACCCAAGGAAUGCAACACGAGGACUUCCCAGGUGCCCAAGCACGCUUAACUUCGGAGUUCUGAUGGGAUCCGGUGCUUUAGUGCUGGUAUGAUCGCAUCCGACAUACCGUGCGUUCUCCUCCCCUUUAUGCCCGCGCCUCCGUGUACGGCCCGCCCAUAGCUCCUUCGACGGCGCCGCCUAGGAACGCGGAGAAAAUAUGACAAAGGAACGGCCAAAAAUAAAAAGAAAGACACUUUCUUUUGAAAAAACAAACAAAAAAAAGGAAUGCAACACGAGGACUUCCCAGGAGGUCACCCAUCCUAGUACUACUCUCGCCCAAGCACGCUUAACUUCGGAGUUCUGAUGGGAUCCGGUGCUUUAGUGCUGGUAUGAUCGCAUCCGACAUACCGUGCGUUCUCCUCCCCUUUAUGCCCGCGCCUCCGUGUACGGCCCGCCCAUAGCUCCUUCGACGGCGCCGCCUAGGAACGCGGAGAAAAUAUGACAAAGGAACGGCCAAAAACAAAAAGAAAGACCUUUCUUUUGAAAAAACAAACGCCUCCGUGUACGGCCCGCCCAUAGCUCCUUCGACGGCGCCGCCUAGGAACGCGGAGAAAAUAUGACAAAGGAACGGCCAAAAAUAAAAAGAAAGACCUUUCUUUUGAAAAAACAAACAAAAAAAAGGAAUGCAACACGAGGACUUCCCAGGAGGUCACCCAUCCUAGUACUACUCUCGCCCAAGCACGCUUAACUUCGGAGUUCUGAUGGGAUCCGGUGCUUUAGUGCUGGUAUGAUCGCAUCCGACAUACCGUGCGUUCUCCUCCCCUUUAUGCCCGCGCCUCCGUGUACGGCCCGCCCAUAGCUCCUUCGACGGCGCCGCCUAGGAACGCGGAGAAAAUAUGACAAAGGAACGGCCAAAAAUAAAAAGAAAGACCUUUCUUUUGAAAAAACAAACGCCUCCGUGUACGGCCCGCCCAUAGCUCCUUCGACGGCGCCGCCUAGGAACGCGGAGAAAAUAUGACAAAGGAACGGCCAAAAAUAAAAAGAAAGACCUUUCUUUUGAAAAAACAAACAAAAAAAAGGAAUGCAACACGAGGACUUCCCAGGAGGUCACCCAUCCUAGUACUACUCUCGCCCAAGCACGCUUAACUUCGGAGUUCUGAUGGGAUCCGGUGCUUUAGUGCUGGUAUGAUCGCAUCCGACAUACCGUGCGUUCUCCUCCCCUUUAUGCCCGCGCCUCCGUGUACGGCCCGCCCAUAGCUCCUUCGACGGCGCCGCCUAGGAACGCGGAGAAAAUAUGACAAAGGAACGGCCAAAAAUAAAAAGAAAGACCUUUCUUUUGAAAAAACAAACGCCUCCGUGUACGGCCCGCCCAUAGCUCCUUCGACGGCGCCGCCUAGGAACGCGGAGAAAAUAUGACAAAGGAACGGCCAAAAAUAAAAAGAAAGACCUUUCUUUUGAAAAAACAAACAAAAAAAAGGAAUGCAACACGAGGACUUCCCAGGAGGUCACCCAUCCUAGUACUACUCUCGCCCAAGCACGCUUAACUUCGGAGUUCUGAUGGGAUCCGGUGCUUUAGUGCUGGUAUGAUCGCAUCCGACAUACCGUGCGUUCUCCUCCCCUUUAUGCCCGCGCCUCCGUGUACGGCCCGCCCAUAGCUCCUUCGACGGCGCCGCCUAGGAACGCGGAGAAAAUAUGACAAAGGAACGGCCAAAAAUAAAAAGAAAGACCUUUCUUUUGAAAAAACAAACAAAUAAAAGGAAUGCAACACGAGGAGUUCCCAGGAGGUCACCCAUCCUAGUACUACUCUCGCCCAAGCACGCUUAACUUCGGAGUUCUGAUGGGAUCCGGUGCUUUAGUGCUGGUAUGAUCGCAUCCGACAUACCGUGCGUUCUCCUCCCCUUUAUGCCCGCGCCUCCGUGUACGGCCCGCCCAUAGCUCCUUCGACGGCGCCGCCUAGGAACGCGGAGAAAAUAUGACAAAGGAACGGCCAAAAAUAAAAAGAAAGACCUUUCUUUUGAAAAAACAAACAAAAAAAAGAAAUGCAACACGAGGACUUCCCAGGAGGUCACCCAUCCUAGUACUACUCUCGCCCAAGCACGCUUAACUUCGGAGUUCUGAUGGGAUCCGGUGCUUUAGUGCUGGUAUGAUCGCAUCCGACAUACCGUGCGUUCUCCUCCCCUUUAUGCCCGCGCCUCCGUGUACGGCCCGCCCAUAGCUCCUUCGACGGCGCCGCCUAGGAACGCGGAGAAAAUAUGACAAAGGAACGGCCAAAAAUAAAAAGAAAGACCUUUCUUUGAAAAAACAAACAAUUCACAGGAAUGCAACACGAGGACUUCCCACGAGGUCACCCAUCCUAGUACUACUCUCGCCCAAGCACGCUUAACUUCGGAGUUCUGAUGGGAUCCGGUGCUUUAGUGCUGGUAUGAUCGCAUCCGACAUACCGUGCGUUCUCCUCCCCUUUAUGCCCGCGCCUCCGUGUACGGCCCGCCCAUAGCUCCUUCGACGGCGCCGCCUAGGAACGCGGAGAAAAUAUGACAAAGGAACGGCCAAAAAUAAAAAGAAAGACCUUUCUUUUGAAAAAACAAACCAAAAAAAAGGAAUGCAACACGAGGACUUCCCAAGAGGUCACCCAUCCUAGUACUACUCUCGCCCAAGCACGCUUAACUUCGGAGUUCUGAUGGGAUCCGGUGCUUUAGUGCUGGUAUGAUCGCAUCCGACAUACCGUGCGUUCUCCUCCCCAUUAUGCCCGCGCCUCCGUGUACGGCCCGCCCAUAGCUCCUUUGACGGCGCCGCUUAGGAACGCGGAGAAAAUAUGACAAAGGAACGGCCAAAAAUAAAAAGAAAGACCUUUCUUUUGAAAAAACAAACAAAUAAAAGGAAUGCAACACGAGGACUUCCCAGGAGGUCACCCAUCCUAGUACUACUCUCGCCCAAGCACGCUUAACUUCGGAGUUCUGAUGGGAUCCGGUGCUUUAGUGCUGGUAUGAUCGCAUCCGACAUACCGUGCGUUCUCCUCCCCUUUAUGCCCGCGCCUCCGUGUACGGCCCGCCCAUAGCUCCUUCGACGGCGCCGCCUAGGAACGCGGAGAAAAUAUGACAAAGGAACGGCCAAAAACAAAAAGAAAGACCUUUCUUUUGAAAAAACAAACAAAAAAAAGGAAUGCAACACGAGGACUUCCCAGGAGGUCACCCAUCCUAGUACUACUCUCGCCCAAGCACGCUUAACUUCGGAGUUCUGAUGGGAUCCGGUGCUUUAGUGCUGGUAUGAUCGCAUCCGACAUACCGUGCGUUCUCCUCCCCUUUAUGCCCGCGCCUCCGUGUACGGCCCGCCCAUAGCUCCUUCGACGGCGCCGCCUAGGAACGCGGAGAAAAUAUGACAAAGGAACGGCCAAAAAUAAAAAGAAAGACCUUUCUUUUGAAAAAACAAACAAAUAAAAGGAAUGCAACACGAGGACUUCCCAGGAGGUCACCCAUCCUAGUACUACUCUCGCCCAAGCACGCUUAACUUCGGAGUUCUGAUGGGAUCCGGUGCUUUAGUGCUGGUAUGAUCGCAUCCGACAUACCGUGCGUUCUCCUCCCCUUUAUGCCCGCGCCUCCGUGUACGGCCCGCCCAUAGCUCCUUCGACGGCGCCGCCUAGGAACGCGGAGAAAAUAUGACAAAGGAACGGCCAAAAAUAAAAAGAAAGACCUUUCUUUUGAAAAAACAAACAAAUAAAAGGAAUGCAACACGAGGACUUCCCAGGAGAUCACCCAUCCUAGUACUACUCUCGCCCAAGCACGCUUAACUUCGGAGUUCUGAUGGGAUCCGGUGCUUUAGUGCUGGUAUGAUCGCAUCCGACAUACCGUGCGUUCUCCUCCCCUUUAUGCCCGCGCCUCCGUGUACGGCCCGCCCAUAGCUCCUUCGACGGCGCCGCCUAGGAACGCGGAGAAAAUAUGACAAAGGAACGGCCAAAAAUAAAAAGAAAGACCUUUCUUUUGAAAAAACAAACAAAAAAAAGGAAUGCAACACGAGGACUUCCCACGAGGUCACCCAUCCUAGUACUACUCUAGUACCAAGCACGCUUAACUUCGGAGUUCUGAUGGGAUCCGGUGCUUUAGUGCUGGUAUGAUCGCAUCCGACAUACCGUGCGUUCUCCUCCCCUUUAUGCCCGCGCCUCCGUGUACGGCCCGCCCAU
rnacentral:lncRNA from 1 species